CCCAUCUCGUUAUUUGCUUCUGUUUUAUCUCUGCUUUAUAUGUUUUCUCCCUCUCCCUCUAAAUAAUUUGUAAGAUCACAUCCAAUAUCCCAUUUGAUAGAUUCUGAUCCAAAGGAAACCGGCAAGUCCAUUUGAGAAGUGAAACAGUGUUCCAUUGAAUUCAAUGUAAUCCAUGAAAGCAUAUUCAUUUUGCAUUGCAAAGCUUUUAAAAUUAUGAUUCAAGAUGAAAAUGUCACUGGUUCGGCCUCUCUUUACCAGGCGAGGAUUCAGCACAAGCUCCGACAACCUUGUUGCUUCUGUGCUCUUUGAGAGAUUGCCACUGGUCAUUGAUACUUGUGAUCUCUUGCUUUUGUUUCCCACAAAAUUGAUUAUAUUACUGCUCCAUAGUUACAUUAGAGAGUUGAAACAAAGGCAAAUAUGUUAAGUUUGAAGGAAACAUGAUUGACUUUUGAGAAGCCCAGUUUUAA